rnacentral:rRNA from 1 species
GACGAACGCUGGCGGCGUGCUUAACACAUGCAAGUCGAACGGAAAGGCCCUUCCUUUCUGGGGUUCUCGAGUGGCGAACGGGUGAGUAACACGUGGGUGAUCUGCCCUGCACUUUGGGAUAAGUUCAGGAAACUGGGGCUAAUACCGGAUAGGACGUUCUUCUGCAUGCUGGUGUUUAAAAAUUUUCGGCGGUUGGGGAUGGUCUCGCGGCUUCUCAGCUUGGUGGUGGGGUAGUGGCUUACCAAGGCUUUGACGGGUAGCCGGCCUGAGAGGGUAAACGGCCACAUUGGGACUGAGAUACGGCCCAGACUCCUACGGGAGGCAGCAGUGGGGAAUAUUGCACAAUGGGCGGAAGCCUGAUGCAGCGACGCCGCGUGCGGGAUGACGGCCUUCGGGUUGUAAACCGCUUUCGCCAGUGACGAAGCGUGAGUGACGGUAAUGGGUAAAGAAGCACCGGCUAACUACGUG